rnacentral:rRNA from 1 species
UAUAGAUGGAUCCGCGCUGCAUUAGCUAGUUGGUAAGGUAACGGCUUACCAAGGCAACGAUGCAUAGCCGACCUGAGAGGGUGAUCGGCCACACUGGAACUGAGACACGGUCCAGACUCCUACGGGAGGCAGCAGUAGGGAAUCUUCCGCAAUGGGCGAAAGCCUGACGGAGCAACGCCGCGUGAGUGAUGAAGGUCUUCGGAUCGUAAAACUCUGUUAUUAGGGAAGAACAUAUGUGUAAGUAACUGUGCACAUCUUGAC